rnacentral:lncRNA from 1 species
AUAUAUGCACUGAUGACCACCUAUAAACAUUUUAAAAAUACAUAGUACAAAUGCCCGUGCGUUGCACCGGGCAAAAAUUAUACACUGCUUACAUGUUCAACCAUCUUAAUCCUGAUGAAACAGAGGAUCUAAAUCUUGAUGAAACAAAAAAACUAUAAAUAAAAGUGUAUGAAACCUUGAACAUGGAAAUUAUCAAUCAGGAUAUUAUCAUG